rnacentral:rRNA from 1 species
AGGACUAACGCUGGCGGCGUGCCUAACACAUGCAAGUCGAACGAGAGUAGCAAUACUCUAGUGGCAGACGGGUGAGUAACACGUGGUCAAUCUACCUUUUAGUGGGGGAUAACUAGCCGAAAGGUUAGCUAAUACCGCAUACGAUCUUCGAGUGGCAUCACUUGAAGAGGAAAAGAGCAAUCUGCUAAAAAGACGGGACCGCGUCCCAUUAGCUAGUUGGUGGGGUAAAGGCCUACCAAGGCGACGAUGGGUAGCUGGCUUGAGAGAGCGACCAGCCACACUGGGACUGAGACACGGCCCAGACUCCUACGGGAGGCAGCAGUGAGGAAUUUUCCGCAAUGGGCGAAAGCCUGACGGAGCGACGCCGCGUGUGGGAAGAAGGCCUUCGGUCGUAAACCACUGUCGAAGGGAAGAUAUUGACGGUACCUUGGAGGAAGCCCGGCUAACUACGUGCCAGCAGCCGC